rnacentral:rRNA from 1 species
GCAUAUCAAUAAGCGGAGGAAAAGAAACCAACAGGGAUUGCCCCAGUAACGGCGAGUGAAGCGGCAACAGCUCAAAUUUGAAAUCUGGCCCCUCGGGGUCCGAGUUGUAAUUUGUAGAGGAUGCUUUUGGUGAGGUGCCGCCCGAGUUCCCUGGAACGGGACGCCACAGAGGGUGAGAGCCCCGUCUGGCUGGCCACCGAGCCUCUGUAAAGCUCCUUCGACGAGUCGAGUAGUUUGGGAAUGCUGCUCAAAAUGGGAGGUAUAUGUCUUCUAAAGCUAAAUAUUGGCCAGAGACCGAUAGCGCACAAGUAGAGUGAUCGAAAGAUGAAAAGCACCUUGAAAAGAGGGUUAAAUAGUACGUGAAAUUGUUGAAAGGGAAGCGCUUGUGACCAGACUUGGGCGCGGCGGAUCAUCCGGGGUUCUCUCCGGUGCACUUCGCCGCGUCUAGGCCAGCAUCAGUUCGCCGCGGGGGAAAAAGGCUUCGGGAACGUGGCUCCUCCGGGAGUGUUAUAGCCCGUUGCAUAAUACCCUGCGGUGGACUGAGGACCGCGCAUCUGCAAGGAUGCUGGCGUAAUGGUCACCAGCGACCC